rnacentral:rRNA from 1 species
GAUGAACGCUAGCGGCAGGCUUAAUACAUGCAAGUCGUGGGGCAGCAUGAGUAGCAAUACUUGAUGGCGACCGGCAAACGGGUGAGGAACACGUACACAACCUUCCUUCAAGCGGGGAAUAGCCCAGAGAAAUUUGGAUUAAUACCCCAUAAUAUAUUUGAUAAGGCAUCUUAUUAAUAUUAAAGCUUCGGCACUUGAUGAUGGGUGUGCGGCUGAUUAGAUAGUUGGCGGGUAACGGCCCACCAAGUCUACGAUCAGUAGCUGAUGUGAGAGCAUGAUCAGCCACACGGGCACUGAGACACGGGCCCGACUCCUACGGGAGGCAGCAGUAAGGAAUAUUGGACAAUGGACGAAAGUCUGAUCCAGCCAUGCCGCGUGAAGGAUUAAGGUCCUCUGGAUUGUAAACUUCUUUAUAUGGGACGAAAAAGGGCAUUCUUGUUCACUUGACGGUACCAUAUGAAUAAGCACCGGCU